AUGAAACACCGAAGCAUGACAGCGAGAAAACUUCAAGAGGAAAACCCGCCUAGUGGAGAUGAACACGCCCUCAUCCACUCCGAAAGGAGACCGCCAUCAUUGAACCUUCCCUCUCCAAUUCCGAAGGGGACCCCUGCCCCUCACCCUGGAUCGAAGGGCGCCGGACCGUCGGCAAUUGGAGCAACUCACCCUAGAGUAAGGAACGGUAUAUAUUUUGGAGCACCUUGGGAGAUUCUCCGCCUGACCAACCCACUGAGCAAAGAUCACCAGGAGAAGAGCCCAACCGCAGCUCACUGGGUCAUACACGAAGAAACGAAGCUGCUGAAGGACGAGGACGCCGAUGGAACAAAUAGCAGAGUUGAUAAGCGACCGUAG
rnacentral:rRNA from 1 species